rnacentral:rRNA from 1 species
ACGAAGGGGGCUAGCGUUGCUCGGAAUUACUGGGCGUAAAGGGCGCGUAGGCGGUCAUUUUAGUCAGGCGUGAAAUUCCCGGGCUUAACCUGGGGACUGCGCUUGAUACUGGGUGACUAGAGGGUGGAAGAGGGUCGUGGAAUUCCCAGUGUAGAGGUGAAAUUCGUAGAUAUUGGGAAGAACACCGGUGGCGAAGGCGGCGACCUGGUCCAUUACUGACGCUGAGGCGCGACAGCGUGGGGAGCAAACAGG